rnacentral:rRNA from 14 species
GAAAGCGUGGGGAGCGAACAGGAUUAGAUACCCUGGUAGUCCACGCCGUAAACUAUCAAUACUCGUUUUCGGCGAUAUACAGUCGGAGACUAAGCGAAAGUGAUAAGUAUUGCACCUGGGGAGUACGAUCGCAAGGUUGAAACUCAAAGGAAUUGACGGGGACCCGCACAAGCGGUGGAUGAUGUGGUUUAAUUCGAUGCAACGCGAAAAACCUUACCUACCCUUGACAUGUCUGGAAUCCUGAAGAGAUUUGGGAGUGCUCGAAAGAGAGCCAGAACACAGGUGCUGCAUGGCCGUCGUCAGCUCGUGUCGUGAGAUGUUGGGUUAAGUCCCGCAACGA